UACGUAGGGUGCGAGCGUUGUCCGGAAUUACUGGGCGUAAAGAGCUCGUAGGUGGUUUGUCGCGUUGUUCGUGAAAACCUGAGGCUUAACCUUGGGCGUGCGGGCGAUACGGGCAGACUGGAGUACUGCAGGGGAGUCUGGAAUUCCUGGUGUAGCGGUGGAAUGCGCAGAUAUCAGGAGGAACACCGGUGGCGAAGGCGGGUCUCUGGGCAGUAACUGACGCUGAGGAGCGAAAGCGUGGGGAGCGAACAGG
rnacentral:rRNA from 1 species